UCUGCAUGUUGGGGCAUGGCUGAGCAAAGCAGCUGUCCCUGAGGACAUAAACCAUCCCCUCAUCUUAUCAAAGGACAAGCAUAUCUCCCACCUUAUCCUCCGUCAUUUCCACUUACAACUUGGUGGUGGAGGCAGAAAUCACGACCUUUCCACUACAAGGAGAAAGUUGUGGAUCACAAAUGGUGUUCUUGCAGCUAGGAAGGUUAUAGCAAGAUUCCCGUUCUGCAAGCUUUAUGGAGGAAAGACUGGUGAACAAAAAAUGGCAGACCUACCUGAGGAAAGAUUGGUUCCUGAUCUACCACCAUUCACUAAUGUCGGCAUAGAUUAUUUUGGGCCAAUUGAUGUGAAAAGAGGGUGUAACACUGUAAAAAUGUAGGCCAUAAAAAGGCAUUUUCACAAAGAGGAAUUAAGUGGAGUUUUAACCCACCAUCUGGAUUACAUCACGGUGGCACCUGGGAGUGUCUCAUAAGAAUGAUCAGAAAGGUCCUGAGUUCGGUCAGCAAACAUUAGAUGAUGGAGGGUUACAUACAAUGCUAUGCGAAGAUGAGCAACCGCCACAUGUGUUGAGGCUAUAGUCCUUAAUUCAGACUUGGCUAAAUUUCUGUACUGAUUCAUCCAGUGUGACCAGUGUCGUGUACUGAAAUUUUCAGCCAGCUAAACUUUCUCUGUCAUUUUUCAUCCAAGGAACAGGUGGAGUUGUGUCUGGAUCGAAUUUAAUGGCAGAAAUUGUGAAACUGCAAAAAAUACAGAAACGAUCAAGUACUACAAGAUAGAAUGAUACAAGUUUAUAUGUAGCCUACUAGAGAGGUAGUGGAUCUAACAGUCAGAUCUACGUGGAAAGUCCAAGGUCGCACCUCCCUAGUUUCAUUAACAAAUCACACAACGAUAUACUAUGGAAGAGUUUGCAAUCUACUAACGGUAAAUAAUGAUUUACUUGCUCAUAUUGCCACUACCAAGAGCUAAAAACAAACGUCAGGGAGAAGGAGCAUAAUGCUACGGAGCACGUAAAAGAUAAGAGAAGAAUACACUCUGAAAUGGGUCUGAGGAAGGUCUUGUUAGACUUGUUGUGGGUAAUCUUGACCUCCACUUUCCUGACAAGUCCAUCUUUACUUGGAAGAGCCUUCACUAUGACUCCUGUUGGCCAUUCAUUUCUUUUCAGUUGCUUGUCCUUUAGAAGAACAAUGUCUCCUUCCUUCAUGUUUGGCUUGAUGAGCUGCCAUUUUUGAUGACUCUGGAGCAUGUGGAGCUAUUCUUUCUGUCAUCUAACCCAGAAAGUGUCAGCAAAAACUUGAACCCUCUUCCAGUGAUAUUUGAACAUGUCAGCUUUGGUGAAGUCUCCAGGGGGAGGUGAGAGGACACCAAACUUCUGGGUGAGUAGAGUUGAGGGGGUUAAGAUCAGAGGAGCUUCUGAGUCAGCGGAGACAGGCACUAAAGGUCUUGCAUUAAUAAUAGCUGUAACUUCAGCCAUCAGGGUUAUCAGAACAUCAUGAGUCAGCUUGGAGUGGCUCGCUUGUAAGAGCAUUGAAUUCAGGAUGCAGCGUGUAAUUCCUAUAAUGCGCUCCCACGUGCCACCCAUGUGGGAUGAGUGGGGCGGAUUGAACACCCAUGAAUAUCUUUAAUUGAGGAGGUAGUUGUCUACACUCAUCUCACCAGGCUUUGGAGGAUCCAGCUUCAGCUCCCUGGAUGCACCAACAAUGUUGGUGCCACAGUCUGACCUCAACUCCUUAGCAGCACCUCUGAUCGUGAAGAAUCUGCGAAGUGCAUUGAUGAAGCUGGAAGAGCUCAUAGUUUCAAUCACUUCAAUGUGAACAGCGCGAGUGGACAUGCAAGUAAACAAAACCGCCCAUCUCUUACUGUUGGCUUGUCCUUCUUUAGUGCGGCGUGCAAUGACCUCCCAUGGUCCAAAUACAUUAAGGCCAACAUAAGAAAACAGGGGGUCAGUCUGUAAAUGUUCAGCUGGCAAAUCUGCCAUGAUUUUCUGCUCCUGUCUGCCACGUAGUUUCCUGCAGGUCACACAUCUAUGGGUAAUGUUGCUAAUACACCUCUUGGUUCCUACUAUCCACAGGCCACUUGCUCCUACCGCUCCUUCAGUAAAGUGCCUUCCUUGAUGCUUUACGGCCACAUGAUAAUAGCGAAUGAGCAGUGUAGCGAUGUGAUGCUUGCCUGGGAUCAGAAGAGGGUUGGCAUCACGACUUGACACUUUUGAUUCUGCAAGGCAUCCUCAUACCCACAGUAGGCCAUUUUCAUCAAUCACUGGAUGAACUUGUGAAGAGAACUGUUGGAGGACAGACUGCAGACGUUUUGCAAUGAUGCAUUUGAUUUCUUCUGAAUACACUUCAUGCUGGACACAUCUGAUAACUGUUUGUUCUGCUUGACUUAAAGCUUCAUCUGUGAGACUUGUCUUAAAGAGGUGCCAGCCUGCACAACAUGUUUCUUCUCUGAAUUUGAUGAAGCUGUGAGAGACGUGAUGAAGCAAGCAAUGGAAAGAGAUGUGUUCACGCCGUGAUGCUCUUCUCGCAAUUUGGACUCCAAUCUCAAUCGGAUCUUCAAUGAAAGGGCGUGUGAUUCUUUCCCGAACAGCUGAUUGGCCAGUGGGUGGAGCCUUUUAUCGGAUUCAGAUAAAUCCUGAAAGUUACCCUGACCUGAAGCAGGUGUGCCAAUCAGAUGUGAAUUACGGAGAAAAGACUUUUGGAUCUGGAGGACCAUCCCUGACACACAGAGGUUGAGUGAUAACUGAUUAUCAGAUUGAUCUGAUGUGUAUGUAUUGAUCUGAAAUAUCCAGCAUGUAGUGUAAUUUAGAGAAAGAUCUGUGGGGAUGGUGUUGGUUAGGUUUUAGGAGGAAAAAAACAAUGUGCAGGUGCUGUGCGCUGUUGUUUUCAUGUAUUUGUUAUUGUCUUAAUCAGUGAUGGGAAUAAUGGCUUUAAAAUAAACGGCGUUACUAGCGGCGUUACUUUUUUCAGUAACGGAGUAAUCUAACUAAUUGCUGUUUCCAUCUUUAUAAUGCCGUUUCAGUUAUUGAAAAUUAAGCUGCUUAUCUCAGGCCAGCAUGGUGGGAUUUUGUUGUAUCAUAUAUGAAAUUAAAGGUCAUGAUCCUAGAUCCUUUACAGAGACUCCAAAUAUGCUGACAAAAGACAUUCUGGGGGGUUGCGGCAGCACGGUCGGUGAGGUCAAAUCUGUAGUGUUCCGUGGCACGCUGUACAUAUUCAGUGUUGUUGUCUUAAGCUGCUUAUCUCAGGCCAGCAUGGUAACCGCGAACUGCUGUUACGGAUUGAGUGGGCAUGAUGUUUUGGCAGGUUGUCUGACAUACAGGAUUGUGUUGGUAGACAGACCAGAACACCGUACACGUCCAUUAAAUAUAUAUAUAAUGCUGUGAGAUUUGGCCUCCUUCACCUUUUCUGCCCAUGUCUAAGGUGGUCACGAUGAUUUGGUGGUGUGAAUGACUUAGUGUUCUGUUAUGAUGGCCAGCAGGUACACAACUGUUAUGUUAAUGAAAUCCCACCUCUUUAGGUACUGCUGCAAAUGUCAGAUCUGCCGUUCUUCAUUACAAUGGAUGUGUAAGGUGUUCCUAAUAAUAUGGCCAACUGGGUGACUCAGCAGUGAGCAGCCAUACUGAGCAGGUACACAGCUGUUGUGUUACUGAAAGCCUCCCUCCGUAGGUAAUUCUGCAAAUCUCAGAUCUGUCGUUCUUCAUCAUGAUGGAUGUGUAACGUGUUCUCAGUUACUUUAUUAACGGUGGAAUCCAGUACAAGAGUAAAAGUACUCGGUUGCUUCAUUAAUGGUGGAGUCUAGUACUAGAGUAAAAGUAUUCAGUUACUUUAUUAAUGGUGGAGUUCAGUAGUAGAGUGAAAGGACUCAGUUACUUCAUUAAUAGUGGAGUCCAGUAGUCGAGAAAAAGUACUCAGUUACUCCAUAACGGGUGGAGUCUAGUACUAGAGUAAAAGUAUUCAGUUUAUUAAUGGUGGAGGCCAUUACUAGAGUAAAAGUACUCAGUUACUUUAUCAAUGUGGAGUCCAGUACUACUUUAAAAGUACUCAGUUACUUUAUUAAUGGUGGAGUCCAGUAGUCGAGAAAAAGCACUGUUACUUCAUAACGGGUGGAGUCUAGUACUCGAGUAAAAGUGUUCAGUUAUUUUAUUAACGGUGGAAUCCAGUACAAGAGUAAAAGUACUCAGUUACUUUAUUAUGGAUGGAGUCCUGUACUAGAGUAAAAGUACUCAGUUACUUUAUUAAUGCUGGAAUCCAGUACUAGAGUGAAAGUACUCAGUUACUUUAUAAACGGUGGAGUCCUGGACUAGAGUAAAAGUAUUCAGUUACUUUAUUAAUUGUGGAGUUCCGUAGUAGGGUAAAAGUAUUCAGUUUAUUAAUGGUGGAGGCCAUUACUAGAGUAAAAGUACUCAGUUACUUUAUCAAUGUGGAGUCCAGUACUACUUUAAAAGUACUUAGUUACUUUAUUAAUUGUCCCUUUAUCUCUAAAGUUUUGGAAAGGGUUGUUGUCAAUCAGUUACUUGAUCAUUUAAACAGGAAUGGUUUGUUUGAAGAGUUUCAGUCAGGUUUUAGAGCUCAUCAUAGCACA